ensembl:lncRNA
ACUCACUUUAUUUUCACUGAUCAGAUGCAGACCUGCCAAGUCCCCUCUAUGACUUAAGCUGUUUUUACCAGAAAGGACAAAUGAAAUUGAUAUGGAUAAAAUUGUUAAGCCUGUCUUCUGUAAAGAAGUGAUAUAAUAAAAUAUAACAUUUUAUCGGUCCAUUAAAAAUAUAUAAAUAUCAACAUUUUUGUACAGAACAAAAACCCAGUUUGAUCGCUUACUCUAAUAAAAUGGUGGGGGAGGGAUAUUUGUCCUCCAGAAGCAAGUUCAUUUUUGUGUGAAAUAUUUCAAUCUGUGAAAACCUAAAGAACAGCACUAGUUUGGGGGCAAAUUUUGCUAGCCGAUAUGUUACGUAUAACGUUAUUUAGGGCCCUCUUUGAGGUAAAACCGUGCAAAUUGCUCUUAUGGACACCACUGGUUAACCAUGAGAGAUGUACAAGUAAUCAAACCAUGCAGACCUUUUGUAUUGAAAUAUGCAGGUUUGCGACUGGAACAACAAAAGGACUGACAACAUAUAUUUGUCUAAAAGUGUAGAGAGCUGGGUGGUCAUUUGAAGCCAAUUCUGUAAUGCUCGGUGAUGCUGUGGACGGCUUCCAUAGCAGAAACACGUGGGCGACAAGUAGAACACAGUGGUGCACACAUAGGAGCGAAGUCCGUUGCGGACUGAAACCUUCACACCAACUAAAAAUGUCUGCCUAGUUGGAAAGAAGCUUCACACACACACAGAGUUUUGUUUUACCUGGAUUACAUCUAGGCUAUAGGCUACAUCCAAGCGCACCCUGAAAUUGAAAAUAAGGCAUACAAAGACUGAAUCAUGAGAAGUCUUGAGUUUCCACUCAAUGUCUAACACCACAUAAAUCAGUUGGGAGUUUCUGCAUUAGACCUCCCCCUACCCACAGUAAAGCCACCGUUUAUGAAGCAGAAAAUGAACACCAGUUGAGUACGUGCGUGAAGGACCACGCCAUCUAAGCAUCUGCUCACGGUGAUGGGACCGUUUCCAUUAAUUUUUUUUUGUCCAGUACAUAAUUGCCCCCACCAUGUCUUGCACUAACACAAAUGUGCCAGCAUCUCUCUGCUUCCAAUCCACAUGCCCCAACCUCCCUAGAUUCCCACUGAACUGCACUGAUAAACACCAACUGAUUGACAGCAGGUCCCCCAGUCCAUGUCGUACCCAAGUGAACAUGUAUCCCAGAGGACUUCACUGCUUGGGCUUCAGAGUCCGGUCCAGUUUCUCACCACACGGUGUCCACAUGUACGCCACACCCACUAUGUCACUUCCUGCCAUCACUUCACCCUGCCCUGGCUGCAUCAGACGGCGCUGAAAGGUAAAAGACCUUCAGAGACCGUCUGUAAGCCACAGCCGUUUUAACAUCGUUUCCUCGUGGCCGGUCAUGUUAAGCUUGCGCCAGGUAUUGGUAGUGUCUGAACACAGCCACGUAGCACAAGGGGAUGGGGGGCGUGUGUGUCCGUCCGUCCCCCCCUCCCAGUGACUGGUGUGUGCUGUACCCUGUGUCCAUGUUAGACUGAAUCCUACUUCAGGCACUUCUCAUGUAGACCUCAUCUCUCACUAACUCAGUGUAAAUGUCAAUCAAAUGGCUUGAUCGAAACAGACCCUGUAUUUAAUCUUGAUGACGGCCUCAGCCUCCCCCUCACACACACGCGCACACACGCGCACACACACACCUGUGUGAAGGCAGAAAUGACUUGCCUUCCUGCCCGUUAAAUUCCCCAGUAAGACCAGUGAGGAGUGGAGUUAAGAGAGAAAGCAGUAUUUUGGUUGCUUAUACAGUAAUCACAUAAAUUAGAUUUCUACAAUAUGCAAAAUAAUAUUGGUUAAAUUCAAAAAAUAGGAUUUUAAACAUACAGCAACAGAAAUAAAAGGCAAUAAUUUUGGCUUUGGAAACAAACCUUUUUUUUUUUUUUCCUUUCCUUUUGAAAAUGUCACUGAUAUAUAUAGAUAUAUAUACUGUUGAAAGCAGUAUGCUGGGAGACCCGAGGCAGAAACAGAAGAAAACAAAACACACACAAACGCACUCACUUGCUCACUCACGCGCACACACACACACACACACACACUAUAGCACAGACGUAUACGUCUCCACCUCACACUCCUGCAAGUGCAAAAUAAAAUAACUUUCAAGAAAAAAAAAAGGAAAGAAACAUUGUUGUAAUCCAGAGAUUUGGUACCAUAUAGCGCUACUUUAGAUAUGACUGUUGAAGAACAGUAGGCCUAGGCCUGCUACUGAAAAAAAAAUUAUAAAUUUAAAAUAAAAGAAAACCAAACCGAAAAAGGUGUGGAUACUAGGAGAGCAUGGUGUCACUCUACAGCUAAGAGUCUUUAGCUUGAUUUUUUUUUCUUCUUCAGUUUUUCCUUGUUUUUUUCUUUUAUAAGUUCAAAUUUUGACCGUUGUCCUAAUGGCACAAGAACGAGACCACAGUGACGUGACGUCCCACGGAGCAGUCUUAAACAGUGACUAAAAGGUUGGACAUAUACUUUUUUUUUUUUUUUCUUGGUUUGUCUUUUCUUUUGUUUGUUUGACUUAACAAUAGACUUGAGCGAGGGGUGGGAUGUGCACUGUACGUACGGAUGUGCGGGGUGGGGUGGGGUGGGCGGGGCGGGGGGUAGCACAUCAUCAGGUUGAGGGUUGGGCCCCCAGUAGCCUCUGGAUUUUGCUCCAAGGGGUAGGGAUAGUUUGGGGGGGAAAGUAGGGUCAAACUUAAGGCAAAUGUCGUCACAAAUGCAUUUCAAUGCGAAAGAACAAGUGCUGAAUAUUUCAACUUGAUAUUGUUCAGAAAACACACGUUCUCAAAAAUUGCUUUUCAUGAAGAUUUCUAGAUGUUGGCAUUAUAUAGGUAGAUAAUUAUAUAUUUAGGUAGAUAAUGUUUUGGUUCAUUUUUUUUAUAUCAAUUAUUCUUAG